GGUCUUUUGGAAUGGGGACAGCAUAUAUGUAAGAUGUAGCUGCUAGAGUUUCCCCAGUAUCAUGGCGGAUGUGUAAGGAUUCGCCACCAGAGGAAUCAGAUUUUAAUAAGGCUUACAAGAUUAGGUUUUAGUUGUUGUGCCCAGAGAUUGAGUUACCAUUGUUUCUGAACUAAGUUUGUGUUGGCUUUCCCUUCACAAAGUGGGGGCGGCUCAUCUGGGUUCAAGAGAGAAAGGGUUCAGACUACAAACUGCUUCUGUGUGACUAAGAGAAGAAGAAUCAGAGUAAAGAGAAACAUACUCUCUUAAUCUCCGAAAAUUAACAGCAGGAGGAGCUCUAGAAUUUCACAAAGGUGCUGUCAGGACACAUGAAAAUCUGGAGAAAAAGACCGGCUUGAAGAGACCAAAAAGAAGAAAGCCUGCCAAUCACAUCCUCCAGAGAUUCUGAGACACACACACCCCUGGUGUAGGGGGACACCAUCUGAAAGGUGACACCCACUCUACGGAAUAUAAGUACCAGCUAAAGAGGACACACACUUGAAGAAAAAGGAGACAAUGAGGUCUUGUGAAUGCUCUAAUUUUUCAAAGCUUACUUUUAAUGAUGGUUCUUAAACGCUUUAACCUCCCUUCUAGUCCACCACCCACCAAAGGUAGUGGGAAAGAAAGGUGAUUAGGAUACAGG
ensembl:processed_transcript Platr14 pluripotency associated transcript 14